CCCAAAAUGGUCUUCUCUGUCUGGUCCUGGAUUAAGUUUGCCACAAGAAAAAUUUGUAUGUUUUGGAGAAGGGAAGUGAAACAGCAGCCAUGUUUUUAUAUUCUGAAAGUGGGUGUAGGUUGGCACUCUUGCGGCUCCUACACAUUCUCACUGACCUGCUGGCUCCCCUUGUGGGCAGGGAGCCGCAGCCACCCCGCAGCUCCUCCAGCUCCUGUUGGAAACCUUCCACCUUCUGCAGCUCCAGAGCCAGGACAGCACCAGCUUCUCCUGCAAGUCACUCACGUCCUCGUGUUUGGAGACAGUUAGAGACUGACAUGGGUUCCAGCUGGUCUUUCUCUUACCACGGGAGCAGAAUAGAAAGAGCAAAUGAAAAGCAUCCUUCAAACAAGCCAGGGAAGGAAGCCGAGUGGCAGGAGUUCAGAGGCCCUGAGUCAUCAUUUUCAGCUCCUGCGGACAGGCGCCUUCCUUUGAAGCAGAACGUUCCUCCUGAAUCAUUUGGUGACUUUCUGUGAAACUAUCUGCUGACACAGGUCUCUGUGGCUCAUUCAGGGAACAGGGGCCGGCCUAAUUUC
rnacentral:lncRNA from 1 species